rnacentral:rRNA from 1 species
UCUUAGUGGCGGACGGGUGAGUAACGCGUGGGUAACCUGCCUUAUACAGGGGGAUAACACUUAGAAAUAGGUGCUAAUACCGCAUAAGCGCACGGGGCUGCAUGGCCCAGUGUGAAAAACUCCGGUGGUAUAAGAUGGACCCGCGUCUGAUUAGCUUGUUGGCGGGGUAACGGCCCACCAAGGCGACGAUCAGUAGCCGGCCUGAGAGGGUGAACGGCCACAUUGGGACUGAGACACGGCCCAAACUCCUACGGAAGGCAGCAG